rnacentral:rRNA from 1 species
UGGGGAAUUUUGGACAAUGGGCGCAAGCCUGAUCCAGCCAUGCCGCGUGCGGGAAGAAGGCCUUCGGGUUGUAAACCGCUUUUGUCAGGGAAGAAAUCUUCUGAGUUAAUACCUCGGGAGGAUGACGGUACCUGAAGAAUAAGCACCGGCUAACUACGUGCCAGCAGCCGCGGUAAUACGUAGGGUGCAAGCGUUAAUCGGAAUUACUGGGCGUAAAGCGUGCGCAGGCGGUUUUGUAAGACAGAGGUGAAAUCCCCGGGCUCAACCUGGGAACUGCCUUUGUGACUGCAAGGCUUGAGUGCGGCAGAGGGGGAUGGAAUUCCGCGUGUAGCAGUGAAAUGCGUAGAUAUGCGGAGGAACACCGAUGGCGAAGGCAAUCCCCUGGGCCUGCACUGACGCUCAUGCACGAAAGCGUGGGGAGCAAACAGGAUUAGAUACCCUGGUAGUCCACGCCCUAAACGAUGUCAACUGGUUGUUGGGAAAGGUUCCUUCUCAGUAACGUAGCUAACGCGUGAAGUUGACCGCCUGGGGAGUACGGCCGCAAGGUUGAAACUUAAAUGAAUUGACGGGGUCAUAGCUGUUUCC